GACGAACGCUGGCGGCGUGCUUAACACAUGCAAGUCGAACGGAAAGGCCCUGCUUGCAGGGUGCUCGAGUGGCGAACGGGUGAGUAACACGUGGGUGAUCUGCCCCUUACUUUGGGAUAAGCCUGGGAAACUGGGUCUAAUACUGGAUAGGACCAUGCUGUAGGUGGUGUGGUGGAAAGAUUAGUUUCGGUAAGGGAUGAGCUCGCGGCCUAUCAGCUUGUUGGUGGGGUAAUGGCCUACCAAGGCGUCGACGGGUAGCCGGCCUGAGAGGGUGGACGGCCACAUUGGGACUGAGAUACGGCCCAGACUCCUACGGGAGGCAGCAGUGGGGAAUAUUGCACCAUGGGCGCAAGCCUGAUGCAGCGACGCCGCGUGGGGGGUGACGGCCUUCGGGUUGUAAACUCCUUUCAGCCAUGACGAAGCCCUUGUGGUGACGGUAGUGGUAGAAGAAGCACCGGCUAACUACGUG
rnacentral:rRNA from 1 species